rnacentral:rRNA from 1 species
AACGAACGCUGGCGGCAUGCCUAACACAUGCAAGUCGAACGAGACCUUCGGGUCUAGUGGCGCACGGGUGCGUAACGCGUGGGAACCUGCCCUUAGGUUCGGAAUAACUCCCCGAAAGGGGUGCUAAUACCGGAUAAUGUCUUCGGACCAAAGAGUUAUCGCCUUUGGAUGGGCCCGCGUUGUAUUAGCUAGUUGGUAGGGUAAAAGCCUACCAAGGCGACGAUCCAUAGCUGGUCUGAGAGGAUGAUCAGCCACACUGGGACUGAGACACGGCCCAGACUCCUACGGGAGGCAGCAGUGGGGAAUAUUGGACAAUGGGCGAAAGCCUGAUCCAGCAAUGCCGCGUGAGCGAUGAAGGCCUUAGGGUUGUAAAGCUCUUUUACCCGGGAUGAUAAUGACGGUACCGGGAGAAUAAGCACCGGCUAACUCCGUG